AACCUCCGCAAUGUGAGAAAUCGCGACGGGGGGAUCCCAAGUGCCAUUCUUAACGGGAUGGCUUUUCAUUAGUGUAAAAAGCUUUUGGAAUAAGAGCUGGGCAAGACCGGUGCCAGCCGCCGCGGUAACACCGGCAGCUCUAGUGGUAGCAAUUUUUAUUGGGCCUAAAGCGUUCGUAGCCGGUUUGAUAAGUCACUGGUGAAAUCCUGUAGCUUAACUGUGGGAAUUGCUGGUGAUACUGUUGAACUUGAGGUCGGGAGAGGUUAGCGGUACUCCCAGGGUAGAGGUGAAAUUUUGUAAUCCUGGGAGGACCACCUGUGGCGAAGGCGGCUAACUGGAACGAACCUGACGGUGAGGGACGAAAGCUAGGGGCGCGAACCGGAUUAGAUACCCGGGUAGUCCUAGCCGUAAACGAUGCGGACUUGGUGUUGGGAUGGCUUUGAGCCGCUCCGGUGCCGAAGGGAAGCUGUAAGUCCGCCGCCUGGGAAGUACGGUCGCAAGACUGAAACUUAAAGGAAUU
rnacentral:rRNA from 1 species